rnacentral:rRNA from 1 species
GAUGAACGCUAGCGGCAGGCUUAAUACAUGCAAGGCGAAGGGGCAGCAAUGUCACUGUCGUACGGGUGCGUAACGCGUAUGCAACCUACCUAUCACUGGGGGAUAGCCCGGGGAAACCCGGAUUAAUACCGCAUAAAACAGGGGCACUGCAUGGUGAUAUUUGUUAAAGAUUUAUUGGUGAUAGAUGGGCAUGCGUUCGA